rnacentral:rRNA from 1 species
UACGUAGGGUGCAGGCGUUAAUCGGAAUUACUGGGCGUAAAGCGUGCGCAGGCGGUUUGCUAAGACAGGUGUGAAAUCCCCGGGCUUAACCUGGGAACUGCGCUUGUUACUGGCAAGCUGGGAGUGUGGCAGAGGGGGGGUAGAAUUCCACGUGUAGCAGUGAAAUGCGUAGAUAUGUGGAGGAACACCGAUGGCGAAGGCAGCCCCCUGGGUCAAGACUGACGCUGGAGGCGACGAAAGCGUGGGGAGCAAACAGG